GGUUUAGGGUACAGGUUAGGGUACGACAAAGGGUUAGGGUAUGGGUUAGUGUUAAUGUAUGGUUUAGGAUUAGGUUACGGGUUACGGUAAGGCUUAGGGUAAGGGUACGAUUUAGGGUACAGGUUAG